UCUCUAUUUCCAGUGGGGCUGCUUGGCUGAGCGGCUGGCAUGUGGUCCAUGGGGUCCAGUGGGGCUCCUGGGCUGAUCGGCUGGCGUGCAGGCAUUGGGGGAGCAGUGAUCUUCCUGCUCAGCUCCCUUGCGCGCCUCUUAGUGAUGCCGGGGCCGGAAUGAGGUCAUAUUCCAGCUCCGGCAUCACUGCAGUGCGCGCGAGGGAGCUGAGAAGGGUUGAGUGCUUCCUUGCUGCCCGUCUCAAU